ACCCCGCGGCCCGCACCUGCGCCCCCACGCGUGCCCUCACCGGCGCCGGGGCGGCUGCCGAUGCCGGCGGUGCCCCUCGCAGCACGUCCUCUUCCUCGGGGGGCUCGUCCAGAAGCACUCGAUUUCGGCUUAGCUUCCACAUCUCGGGUGCUCGACCGCUCCGCGCAGCGUCGCUCCGGGACUGAGCGAGGACGCCCGGCCCGCCGCGGCGCUGGGACGGUGCGGAGGACUGGGCGGGGAGGGGCGGUCAGCUGCGGGCGGCCGUCCCCUGCCCGCCCCCUGCCCGCCCCCUGCCCGCCCCCAGACCCUCCUCCAGCCUUCAGGUCCCUCAGGUCCCCUGCCCCCUGGGCCCUCCCCCACCCUGACACUCAGCCCGCGGGUCCCCCGCUUCCCCAAGACCGCCCCAAGCUCCUUAAGUAGCUCCCCGAGGGGGAAUCCAGCGGAGCCAGUGCUUUACCAAGCGACCUGGAACCCGGGCGCAUCAAAACCACGUGACAUUUCACACCGGCCGCCCCUCAACUCCCGGCCCUCCGCUCACCCAGCCCGAUGGGCGUGGUCCAUCCUGGAUCACCAAGGCAACGCAGAGCGAGCAGUGUUCACUCCUAACAGUCUGAAAGCAGAGUGGAAGUGUCCCCCACUGAAAGCAGAGGAGAAGUGCCCACAUCCUUGAAGGCCUCCCCACCCACAGGCCCCAGGGACAGUAGCUUCCUCCUCCUGGCUCACCCUCUCCCUUCACGGUCCCAGACCAGCCAAAGGCCAAGGCCUUUUCCUUAUUUUCCGUUUCCUCCUCAGGAAAUGAUAUGAUUAUAAUAAAAUACCAAGAAGAAUAGUAACUACA